rnacentral:rRNA from 1 species
UGCAAGUCGGACGGUAGCACAGAAGAGCUUGCUCUUCGGGUGACGAGUGGCGGACGGGUGAGUAAUGUCUGGGGAUCUGCCCGGCAGAGGGGGAUAACUACUGGAAACGGUAGCUAAUACCGCAUAACCUCGCAAGAGCAAAGAGGGGGACCUUCGGGCCUCUCGCUGCCGGAUGAACCCAGAUGGGAUUAGCUUGUUGGUGGGGUAACGGCUCACCAAGGCGACGAUCCCUAGCUGGUCUGAGAGGAUGACCAGCCACACUGGAACUGAGACACGGUCCAGACUCCUACGGGAGGCAGCAGUGGGGAAUAUUGCACAAUGGGCGCAAGCCUGAUGCAGCCAUGCCGCGUGUAUGAAGAAGGCCUUCGGGUUGUAAAGUACUUUCAGCGGGGAGGAAGGGUUGCUGGUUAAUAACCAGCGGCAUUGACGUUACCCGCAGAAGAAGCACCGGCUAACUCCGUGCCAGCAGCCGCGGUAAUACGGAGGGUGCAAGCGUUAAUCGGAAUUACUGGGCGUAAAGCGCACGCAGGCGGUCUGUCAAGUCAGAUGUGAAAUCCCCGGGCUUAACCUGGGAACUGCAUUUGAAACUGGCAGGCUAGAGUCUUGUAGAGGGGGGUAGAAUUCCAGGUGUAGCGGUGAAAUGCGUAGAGAUCUGGAGGAAUACCGGUGGCGAAGGCGGCCCCCUGGACAA